ensembl:lncRNA
GCAGGUGUAAAGUCCCAUGCUCACGUGGUGCUGGCCAGCAAACCCAGAUCUCCCUGCAUGCUAGAGAAACACUUCACCACAUCAUCUACAGACGCAGCCAAAUUUCCUUUCAAGGACAUGCCCAUCCUCUGAGAGUCCAACCCUAUGUUGAUUUUCCUCGUGACAGCGGGAUAUUUCAGCUCGGUGAUUACUCAGGUCACCCAGAGAGCUUAUUUGAUCCAAAGCUGCUGUAUCAGUCACCAGGCCUGAGUCAGAGCUUGGACAGGGCACAGCUGUAGCUCCCUGAACGGCAAAUACCUUGCCAUAGCGGUUGCUGGGGAAAUAUGUCGGAAACCUGUCUUCAGAGCUUGCUGGGAAUCUGCUGGGUGAGGUGCUGGGGAACGCUGUGGAUAGUGAGGAUAGAGGACAUUUCACUGGAGACACUUCACUGCGAAACCGCCUGAAGGGGAGCUGGCCAGGGCCACUGUGUGCAGUAUAGACAAGUGUGGCCGAAGCUGCCCAUGCAGAUAGAUUAGGGUCUCGGCAGCUGCACUGAACAAAGUGAGCCUUAGUAACCGCAGAUCCGAAUUAUUGAAUUCAUGCAUGCCUCCCGUCUUGACCACGGUAGCCACAUUUUGUGUGUACAGGAACAGUGAGACUUGCAUGGUCCUGGCUAGACAAAGAGACUGCUGAUCUCUAUGGUGACCAAGCUGGCCAGUACCUGCCUCCCUGCAGUGGGAGCCCUCCCAUGACUUUUCUGUGCAGUGUGGCUAUCGGUAUCCACUCGAGAGAAACCCAUCCACCCACACCCGCCUUCCCUAACGUCCCGGCCACAGACUGUCUUACUCCCUCCAUGCCUCUGACCCUUCAGGCCAAACAAUUUGUAACCGUGAGUGGAGUGGCUUUGAGCCGUCCUUCUGGCCACCUCUAACACUAGACAAACAUGCCUUCACUGUGCACUGCUGGGAGGGUUUCCCUUCACUGUCAUCCUCCAGGGGCCACAGAACUGCCCCCAUCCCCAGCGCUGCUGUCUACUCAUGAGCAGCUACAGCAACUGUAUGCACCGGCUUCUAAGACGGCUGUUUCUCUUUCUCAGACAGUGUAUUUAAACGCACUGGUCUCUAAAAUAACCAGGUAUUGUCUAAAAUGUCCUUCUGUGAGAAUCUUCUCUUCCCCAAACAACUCUAGACUUGUGGUUCCUGAAACUCCGGGCCAACAGCAAGUUCCACUGCCUUAACUUCUGAACACCGGUAAAAUACUUCCACAACUCCUGGGACGUUGUUUGGAAUUCAGAAUGACUCAUUUACACACUGACUCUCUACAAGAAAUGCAUUCAAGAACAUAUGAUGUCGCUCACGGAUCAGAGCCAUCUGACGGCAGGAUUUGGAGGACACCUCUGAAAGGGCCCCAGGUACUGCGUCUCCAAAGAAGAGAGUAGAGACAUAGUUUCAGCAGAAACAGAAGGUUGAUACACUUUCAAGGCAGAGGAAGUGGACCAGAACCAAUGGAGACCUAGAGUCAUUCAGCCCUGCCGUGGGGAGAAUGAAUGGGGUCUUUCAUGUCUAAGGCACGGGCUUCGGGGCUCAUGCUCAUAGCACAAGAUGUUCCUUGCGUGCUUUCUACUGUCACGUGUAAUUCUAGAUACAGUUUCCAUGUGGUUACAUCUCAUUUGCACGGUGAGUCGUCACCCAGGGCAGUGAAGAGGUCUGGCGGUAUAAGGUAUAAUGAGCCAAAGACGCCUUUCAGACACUGGAACCCUCUGCACCUGCAGCACUGGCUGGCGCUGGCUGGCCGUGCAGGGGGCUUAGCCUUUCUCUUGACCAAGUGUUUUAUAUGCGAAUUUGUUAUAAGGCUUUCUAUAUGUCUCUACCCCUAGUCUCCCUCCUACACUCUAGCACAUUCGUGAUUCCUGAAAUGAAAGGGUCACUCUUCUCAUGAAUGUGCAUGACGGUCUGUUGGGUUUGAGGCAAGAACUGAGGUUUCUGAGGACAGCAUGGAGGUGACUCAGCCUGGUCCUGAGACCUUUUCUCUGUGAAACAGCAGGUAGUGGGUAGUCCCGAUCAGUCUGUAAUAGGAUAAGCUGUCACUGUCAGUACAAUAAAAAAAGACAGACAGAUGGACAGACAGACUGGCAGACUGAGGGACAGACAGGUUCGGGAACCCAUUUAGAGUAUCCCAAAUUCUAUGUUCCAGUGAGGGAGAUUCCAUGAAGUUUUUAUGGAAACAGAACACACACCACAGAUGAGGACACUUUUCACACGUGCUGGUAGAAACGUUUGGAGAUGGUUAGAGUGAAGCGGGGAAUGGCAGAUGUAGGCCUCACAUGCUGUCUAAUGACGCCCUUCACUUUGGAUUUGGUGGAAGCUAGGGUCUACUAAGCUAAACAGGUUUCAGAAACCUGUGCCUAGAGGUGCACACCUUUAAACCCAGCACUUAGGGUGCAGAGGCAGGAGGAUCUCUGUGAAUUCCAGGCCAGCUUCACCUAUAUACAGAAUUCUAGGGCAGCCAGAGCUACAAGGGGAGACCCUGCCUUAAAAAGAGGGGUGGAGGAAGGGAAAGACAGACCGCAGACAGACAGACGACAGAUGGAGAAGGGAUUUACCUGAGUCACAGGGAUGUUAGAUCAGAUAGACACAGAGGUGGGAGAGGAAUCGCUAAUAAGGCUAAACCCAGUCCAAGGUAAACUGUAAUGUGCCUCUGACCCUGCAACCUUUCAACCUCUCCACAGUCACUGAAAUUCCAAGCCUUUAACCAGCCUUGUAGGUUGAGCGGGAGGCAUGGCUUUCCUCCGGGAACUUCCAUUCACUUCCCUGAACGGGUUGAAGGAGAGGAGAGGAUCACAGUUGAGGGGAAGAGAAAUCUGAGCUCAGCCAAGCAUCCCAAAAUAGCUGAAGAGCCGAAUUAUAACUGUGCAGAUUGAUCCUUCCAGUCAGCCCUUCCUAAGCUCCUUUGCUGGCAGGAAGGG